AGUCUUUUGUUUUUUUAUAAAAGAUGGUUUCUGCUCAGUGUUUUAUAAACAGCCGCGGUAAUUUGACCGUGCAAAGGUAGCAUAAUCAUUUGCCCUGUAAUUGAGGGCUGGAAUGAACGGAAGAACAAGGUGUCCGCUUUGUUUUUAAGAGAAAAAAAAUUUUCUUUUUUAGUGAAGAAGCUAGAAUUGGUUUGGGGGACAAGAAGACCCUUUUGAGCUUUAUUAGUAGUAUUUUCUUUUUAUAUUAUUAAUUUGGUUGGGGCGACCAAGGAAGGGUUGAUCUUCCUUUAUUACUUUGACCCGGAGAUUCCGAACAAUGGAUUAAGCUACCAAAGGGAUAACAGCGUAAUUUUUUUUGUGAGUUCUUAUUAAAAGAGAAGAUUGCGACCUCGAUGUUGACUUAUGGUUACCUUUUGGUGCAGCAGCUAUUAGGGUGGGUCUGUUCGACCUUUAAAGCCUC
rnacentral:rRNA from 1 species